rnacentral:antisense_RNA from 1 species
GCCAGCUGCCAGAAGCUUCUCACUCCUUGGAGACCUUGGAGUCGAGGAUGAAAUGUUUUACAACUGUGGGGAGACCUAGGCUUUUCCAAAGCCCAUCAGGAUCCAAGACUUGGAAGCUAAGGCCCAGAGAGGAGGAGAAACUUGAUCAAAGUCAAUCAGACAAUGCAGAAUCGAGAAAAGUACCUGGACUUCUAUGCCCAUGCUUCUAGCAGCCAGCCUCCUAAAAUACCUCUAGUUGAAGCCAAAGUUAGAAUCCUUCUAUGAAACUACAGGAUUAAAAUGGGAUGGUUACAUGACCCAGGCUUGACCAAUCAGAUCAUCCAAACCCUUUGCCACAGUGAUUGGUCCAGGGAUACAUGCAUGAGCCAGCUCAGGUAAAUGAGGCUCAAUUAUGAGAAUUUUGUUAGCGCAAUUGGGGAAAAAAAGUUUUCUUUCCAUGAGAACUAUCAGCUAUAAGAAUGUUGGAUGUUUCCAUCUGCUGGAGUCCAUGAAGAAGGUCCCAUGAAAAUGAAGCCAGCACAGCAACACAGAGCUAAGACAUACAAAGAGAUGGAGAUUAAAUUGAAUGGAACUUUUAAGCCCCCAUAUGCCCUUGAAGCCAGAUAUCCCUGAACUUUUAAUUUAUAUUAGUUGAUAAAGUCCUUCAUUAGCUUAAGCCAAUUUGAAUCAGAGUAUUUUUCACUUGGGGGCCAAAAGAGCUCUCAAUACAAAAGUCUGAGUGAGUGCAUGAUGUGCUGGUUUCAACCUCAAGGGAACAGGGAAAGGGAAAGAAAGAGGCAGAGGUUGUGAACAGGACAGUAGAAGGUGGUCAGGAGACAAGUUUCUGGACUCAACUUUGUCCCUACUGUGUGGCCUUGAAUAGUGAGUUAACCGCUCCAAGCCUCAGUUUCCCCAUCUGGAAAAAAAAGUUAGUGGACAGUCAGUAGUUCUCAGACAGAACUCUGUAGCAGCGAGAGGGUAAUGGGGAUUGAGAGUCCCAGACUUGCAUUCUGAGAGACUAGCUCUCCUCUUAUCUAUAUCAUAUACCAGGUUUUCUUGUAAGGUUUUGUUAGAAGAAUGGGUCUCACUGUUAAAAUGGAUUAGCUGACCAUUUCAGUUCUAUUUAUAUUAAAGUCUAAAUUGAAUCAAGGCUCAGCUGGGGCCCAGUAAGAAUGUAGUGCCUGGUUAAUAAUAUUUUCUACUCUAUGAUAGGAGUUGGCCAGAAGCCAAGGUCAAAAACUCAAUCCCUGGAGGGUUUAUUUGCUUUCUGCAGACAUAAAAAAUUGCUAAUGACUAUGAUCUGCAUCCCCAAUCUUGAGAGCUGUCUUAGAGAUGUGGGUCAUUGAUCACAGAAGGGGCUGGGAAAAGGAAUGUGGAUGAUUCCAAAUAGUCAUUAGCUCUGCCUUAAAUACCAAUACAAACACCACUGCCAAUGCUCAAGGCAAGCAACCUCUUCAUAGGUAGAACACAGAUGGUGGUAUGCUUGAAGGCUUUUGUUUCUUCUCAAGACAGUGUAGAAAAAGCUGAGAAAACAAAGAGCACUUGUUUCACAAUUAACUGCACAACACCUGAUGUAUAUCCACAGUACUCUAAAUUAAUAUGGAUUUGCUUUUCUUUAUAAAGACAACAUACACAUUGUAGUGGAAAUCAGAUGGGAGGAUAAUUUUUAUGAAAGCAUAUAACAGUAUUUUUAUAAAAAUAUAAAUUAUCAUUACAUUAAAAUAUAUUAACUUCAAGGCAAGUUUUGACACUGUAUGCAAGUUUAAAGUAUUUCAAAUUUUUAAAAAGUGUAUCUUAACCAAUAAAUUUUAGCACAAAUUGCCAGAAUGUGUUGUCCACCACUAUAGUCAAAACAAUUUUCUUUAUUUCAACUAAAAAUUUUGAAUGGGACUAAAGUCUUUAUGCAAAUAUAUACUCCAAUAAUAAUAUUAAUCUUGCCAACAGAAGCUGAAUAUUUAACUAACUUUAACAAACAUGUUGAAAGAUAAUAAACUAAACAGACUCUUUUUCCUUAUAGUCUCUGUAUAACUAGGUGCUUUCUCAUUAGAAAGCUAUUUUUUCAAAAGUAUAUAUAACAUAGGUAAUUUAUAUUAAUAAAAAAUAAAAAGUUGUAAAUUU